CAGUCGCCACGGUAACACAGAGGGUGCGAGCGUUAAUCGGAUUUACUGGGCGUAAAGCGUGCGUAGGCGGCUUUUUAAGUCGGAUGUGAAAUCCCUGAGCUUAACUUAGGAAUUGCAUUCGAUACUGGGAAGCUAGAGUAUGGGAGAGGAUGGUAGAAUUCCAGGUGUAGCGGUGAAAUGCGUAGAGAUCUGGAGGAAUACCGAUGGCGAAGGCAGCCAUCUGGCCUAAUACUGACGCUGAGGUACGAAAGCAUGGGGAGCAAACAGGAUUAGAUACCCGCGUAGUCCCUGUCUCUUAUAC
rnacentral:rRNA from 1 species